rnacentral:rRNA from 1 species
AAUAGCUCAAAUUUGAAAGCUGGCGUCUUCGACGUCCGCGUUGUAAUUUGUAGAGGAUGUUUCGGCGAGGGCUCCUGCCUAAGUUCCCUGGAAUGGGACGUCACAGAGGGUGAGAAUCCCGUAUGUGGCGGGCGGCCUUAGCCAUGUGAAACUCCUUCGACGAGUCGAGUUGUUUGGGAAUGCAGCUCUAAAUGGGAGGUAAAUUUCUUCUAAAGCUAAAUACCGGCCAGAGACCGAUAGCGCACAAGUAGAGUGAUCGAAAGAUGAAAAGCACUUUGGAAAGAGAGUUAAAAAGUACGUGAAAUUGUUGAAAGGGAAGCGCUUGCAACCAGACUCGUUCGCAGUUGCUCAGCCCGCCUCUUGGUGGGUGUACUCUUCUGCGGUCGGGCCAGCAUCAGUUCGGGCGGUCGGAUAAAGGUGUCGGGAAUGUAGCACCCUUCGGGGUGUGUUAUAGCCCGGCGCGGAAUGCGGCCAGCCUGGACUGAGGAUCUCGCUUCGGCAAGGAUGCUGGCGUAAUGGUUGUAAGCGGCCCGUCUUGAAACACGGACCAAGGAGUCUAACAUCUAUGCGAGUGUUUGGGUGUCAAACCCAUGCGCGUAAUGAAAGUGAACGGAGGUGGGAACCCGCAAGGGUGCACCAUCGACCGAUCCUGAUGUCUUCGGAUGGAUUUGAGUAAGAGCAUAGCUGUUGGGACCCGAAAGAUGGUGAACUAUGCCUGAAUAGGGUGAAGCCAGAGGAAACUCUGGUGGAGGCUCGCAGCGGUUCUGACGUGCAAAUCGAUCGUCAAAUUUGGGUAUAGGGGCGAAAGACUA